rnacentral:rRNA from 1 species
GAUGAACGCUAGCUACAUGGCUUAACACAUGCAAGUCGAGGGGCAGCAUGAAAGGAACUUCGGUUCUUUUUGAUGGCGACCGGCGCACGGGUGCGUAACGCGUAUCGAACCUGCCUCAUACUCGGGGAUAGCCUUGCGAAAGUAAGAUUAAUACCCGGCGGUCUCGGAUGGCCGCAUGACUAUCCGAGUGAAGAUUUAUCGGUAUGAGAUGGCGAUGCGUCCCAUUAGCUUGUUGGUGGGGUAACGGCUCACCAAGGCAUCGAUCAGUAGGGGUUCUGAGAGGAAGGUCCCCCACAUUGGAACUGAGACACGGUCCAAACUCCUACGGGAGGCAGCAGUGAGGAAUAUUGGUCAAUGGGCGGGAGCCUGAACCAGCCAAGUAGCGUGCAGGAUGACGGCCCUAUGGGUUGUAAACUGCUUUUAGUUGGGAAUAAAAAGAGGGACGUGUCCCUUAUUGUAUGUACCAUCAGAAAAAGGACCGGCUAAUUCCGUGCCAGCAGCCGCGGUAAUACGGAAGGUCCAGGCGUUAUCCGGAUUUAUUGGGUUUAAAGGGAGCGCAGGCGGCGGCGUAAGUCAGUUGUGAAAUCGUGCGGCUUAACCGUGCAAUUGCAGUUGAUACUGCGUCGCUUGAGUGCACACAGGGAUGUUGGAAUUCAUGGUGUAGCGGUGAAAUGCUUAGAUAUCAUGAAGAACUCCGAUCGCGAAGGCAUAUGUCCGGAGUGCAACUGACGCUGAGGCUCGAAAGUGUGGGUAUCAAACAGG